rnacentral:lncRNA from 1 species
GCCAUGUUAAAUCUUGGCAGUAGAGGGCGCUGGAGAGGCACCACCCGCAGAACCAUCCUUAGUUCCCAGGGCUCCUCCCCAUCACGCCUCUGCUGAGUCACCUCUUCAUCGAUGAUCUUCCCUGGCAUCAGAUGCUGGAGUUGAAAUGCAAGAGAGAUCCAGUGCAUGAUGUUCUGUCAGCCCAAAUGGAGACAAGGAAUCGACCUGCCAUCUUUGUUCUCUGUCCACCAUCUACAACUUCUGGGGAAGGAGUUUCCUCUCCUUGCAAUUCCUUCCAAAGGGAAAAACAGCAAAUCUCAGUCCCCAGCCUCUCCGGGCAUCGCCUUUCCUUCCAGGAUCAUGUGACUCAUUAGAAACUGGGUGGUCAGAUAAUAGAGGCCUAACUCAACGCUGUUAUCUCACCGACUCUCACCUCCUCUGGAUGCCAAAGGGUGAGUGUAGCAUACACUGAGAGAUGGCACAUCUUUAGCUCUGAACAAAGGGCUGCCUAGAGACUGCUGUCACAUUUCAGAGGAGAGCACUUUUAUCCCUGGAGAUGGGGUUGAAGUUCUAGUGUGAAGAGAUGGGAGGGAGACUGGGGUCAUGGCCACCCUCCCUUAGGCCCCAUCAGACUGCACAGAUGGCUGCUUUGAUGAGCUAUCUUUUGAGGGCAGAAGCUGUACCUUAUUUAUCAGUGUGUCACAGUUCUUGGUACAUAGAUGGUGCUGGAUGGACGAUGAAAACCAGAACAGGCCUGAGUGAUUGACAGCUCCCAGUAGCCCCUGGGCAGCAUGGUACCUCAGUGGCUAUGCGCUUAUGAGGGCUACUCCAUACAUGCUCUCAUCCAUGAUGCUAUUUUGUUUUUGUUUAUUUCUGAGAGAGAGUCUCACUCUGUAGCCCUGGUUAUCCUGGAGCUAUCUAUGAAGACCAGACUGGAUUCUACUUUGUUUAUCAAAAGUCUUAGAAAUUAGGCAAAGAACAUCCCCAGCUGCACUUUCAUGAAGGAAUGCCUUCUAAAUCAAUUGGGAAAAACAAGAAAACCACUCUAAUUCUCCUGUGAGCACCAAGCUUGACCACCAACAUAGAAACACCAGGGGUUUGAAGGACACUGCUGACAUCCGUCCAGAGCAUCAACCAAACAAAGUUGAAGGUUAAGGUUGACACUUUUGGGAACAAUGACAAAGGUACACAGAUGCUGUUCACUGUGGCUGUUGUAUUAUUAUGAAUGUUUGGAACCUCAUCGGGUACUGUGAAUUAUUGUUGUAGGAAAAUAAAUAGCAAUAAGUGUAUAUACA